rnacentral:rRNA from 1 species
ACGAACGCUGGCGGCGUGCUUAACCCAUGCCAGUCGAGCGGUAAGGCCCUUCGGGGUACACGCGCGGCGAACGGGUGAGUAACACGUGAGUAAUCUGCCCAUCACUUCGGGAUAACUCCGGGAAACCGGUGCUAAUACCGAAUAUGACCACUUCAGGCAUCUGAUGGUGGUGGAAAGUUCCGGCGGUGAUGGAUGAGCUCGCGGCCUAUCAGCUUGUUGGUGGGGUAGUGGCCUACCAAGGCUUCGACGGGUAGCCGGCCUGAGAGGGUGACCGGCCACACUGGGACUGAGACACGGCCCAGACUCCUACGGGAGGCAGCAGUGGGGAAUAUUGGACAAUGGGCGAAAGCCUGAUCCAGCAACGCCGCGUGAGGGAUGACGGCCUUCGGGUUGUAAACCUCUUUCAGCAGGGACGAAGCGCAAGUGACGGUACCUGCAGAAGAAGCACCGGCCAACUACGUG